CCCGCUGAACUUAAGCAUAUCAUUAAGCGGAGGAAAAGAAACCAACAGGGAUGCCCUCAGUAACGGCGAGUGAAGCGGGCAAAGCUCAAACUGAAAAUCGGAGGCCUAAACGGGUCUUCGAAUUGUAGUCUAACGACGCGCCAUCAGUAGGGACACGGGUAUAAAUCCUUUGGAACAGGGUAUCAAAGAGGGUGAGAAUCCCGUAUUUGACUCGGAGUUCCCUGCGUACGAUGCGUGUUCACAGAGUCGAGUUGCUUGGGAUUGCAGCUCUAAGCGGGUGGUAAAUUUCAUCUAAAGCUAAAUAUCGACGAGAGACCGAUAGCGAACAAGUACCGUGAGGGAAAGAUGAAAAGAACUUUGAAAAGAGAGUUAAAAAGUACUUGAAAUUGUUAAGAGGUAAGCACUGGAAACCAGUCGUCUGUUCGUGAUCCUCGCUUGCCUGCUAGCUUGAAGCGUGGUGCUGAGACCGCAAGGCUCGGUUGUUGCGUUUGAGAGUGUGUGGGUGGGUCCAGUCACGGAUAGAAGGUCAAAAUCGUUUUGACUCGGGGGAGAAAGCUGCUGGGAAGAUAGGACGGAGGGGCAACCCAAUGUCUGUUACAGCCUGGCAGUCCUACCUUGGGUUGGAGCGAGGAAUCAAUACGCGCCACUAGGGUUCAGUUCCCUGUCCCCGGCUUAUCAGCUGCAUUGGAUAACAAAGUUAUGCGUGUGGCGAAGUGGGUCGCUGGAUGGGUUCAACUAGAUGCAGUAUUCGAGAUUUUGACGAAAUGGUUUUCAUUGACCCGUCUUGAAACACGG
rnacentral:rRNA from 1 species